CCGCUGGCCGUGUGCACGUGCGUUCGAGCACGGGCGUGAGAGCUUUCUCCAGAGAGGUGGCACUGCAGUCCUGCCAGCACAGCCGCGUGGCUCUCUUUCCGGAGGUGUCUCCUUCCCGGGCCCACUCGCGCACCACCUUCCUCUGCUCGUGCUCGUUCGCGAGCUAGCUGGCUCACGGGCACCCGCACCAUGCAGCGUAGCGCUGGCGCCUUGCACGUGAGGUUUACCAUCUGCGGAUGCUUCCGAGAGGACCCGAGGCUGAACCUUGUCGCGUUUUGAAGUUGUUGCCCCUUAGACUGGGAAAGCAGAUUCAAAUUAACGGAACUCUCCAACACCCAAAGGGGGAACGGACCUGAAGUAUUGUUUGUAAUAAAUGCUUCUCAGUAAAUAGAAAAGCAAAUUUCUCAUAAUUCUACUCCAAAAGGGUGAAACACAUGUUUUUGAUAGACAUACAACUGUGACAAAUAACUUAGCCUUCUGUUAAAGAAAGGUACCUGUGGAACUUUCAAAAUGUUUGGUCCAGGGCACUAUUAGAUGUUACCCUGUUAGAAGAAAUGUGCCACUGUUGGGGUGGGCUUUGAGACCCCUCUCCUAGCUGCCUGGAAUACAGUCUGCUCCUUACUUCUUUUGGAUGAAGAUGUCGAACUCUCAGCUCCUCCAAUGUCAUGCCUGCCUGGAUGCAGCCAUCCUUCCUGUCAUGAUGAUAAUGGACUGAAUCACAGAACCUGUAAGCCUGCAUCAAGUCUGCAGGAUUAGGCACAUCCUCUCCCACUGAGGCUAGAUGUGGCAGCCCUCUGCUACAUAUGCGUCAGGGGCCUUGAACCAGGCCCUGUAUGCUUUUUGGAUGGUGGAUCAGUCUCUAGAAGCUCCCAGAGGUCCAGGUUAUUUGCUUUGUGGAUGAGUUUUCCAAAACUGACAGGGAAUGGAAUGCCUGAAUCCAAUUUAAUUUGGACAGGAGGGCCCCUAGGGCUUUUCCCAAUAGAAAAUAUUACCUUGCCUGUCUUUUGUUCAUCUGCAUUCAUUAGUCCAAUGUAGGCCUUUGCCAUGCCUUCUGCAUACUCCAGAAAGCUGGGGCCUUCUUUUUGGAUUACCUCUAUGAAAAAAAAAAAAAACCAAUAUUUCUAGAAAUGCCUUGCCUACAAUCUCUUUUCAUAUGAACUUGCUUAUCACAAUUAAAACAUCUGAUGUUUUUGUUUUUCUUCAAACUUUUAGAAAUUAUUUCUCCUAUCAAAGUAGCAUCAUAAACAUGAGAUCCAAUAUUGCCAUAUUUCCAAUCCAUUCAUCUAUUGGUUCUGAUGUUGCCUUGAAAGGCCUAAUCGCCCCUUUGCAUUCAAAAUUAGCAUUUUCAAAAGCCAAAGAUCUCAUUAAUAUUUGUCUGACUUCUGAAUCUGAUACUAUUUUAUUUACAGCUGAAGUCAACCUUUGCAAAAAAAAAAAAAAAAAAAAAAAAAGUAAAGGCUGAUUUUGGGCCUUGCAUAAUUUCAGUAAGUGAUACAGCCCUCUUUUCUGGUUCUUCAACAUAAACAGAAACCCUAAAAUAAUGUCCUUUCUGGUAUCAUUUUGGAAGUCACCAAGGAGCAUUUCAUUCUGAUAUAAUUUUCUUUUCUUUACUAUAUCCAUGACUUAAUGUUCUAUUUUCCAAAUUUUGUGCAACUUUUUACAUUAAGUUUUAGAAUUCUAAAUUUUUCCAAUAGCCCUUUCUGGUUAUUUCAUAAAUGUAGUAUGCUCUCCAAUGUUUCUAAGAAUAUCGGAGAUUCUUUGGCAGCUUUAUGUUCAGCUUUCAUGUUGGAGUUUCCUCAAAUGUUGAGUGAUUCUUAGUUGUCAGUGUAUAUUGAGUUCAAGUGACUAUAAGUUAUGUCAUAAUGAGCAGGGUUUGUAGUCUUUGGGUCUCACUGUAGCAAAUAGUUAAAUGCCAAAUUAUUGUUCAUCUUUUCUGGAUGGGUUGGGCAUGUCUGGAUACACAUGCCCAUAACAGCCAGGUAAAGAAUGCAUGCAGGUUCACAAUGUUCUUAAUACUGGCAUUCUCAGUUUCCUUGUCCUCAACAUAGCUUUGGUCCUGUCUUUCCAUUCUCAGUUUUGUUUGGUUCAGUUUCUCCAGAAAAAUAAGCCUUCUGUAAUUUUUGUUUGUUUGUUUGUUUGUUUGUUUUUGUUUUUGUUUUUUCGAGACAGGGUUUCUCUGUGUAGCCCUGGCUGUCCUGGAACUCACUCUGUAGACCAGGCUGGCUGUGAACUCAGAAAUCUGCCUGCCUCUGCCUCCCAAGUGCUGGGAUUAAAGGCGUGCACCACCACUUUUGUUCCUCAUGCCUACUUUCAGUUGUCCCUUUAGCCUUUGAAUGGUGUAGAAAGCAGCACUUGUCUUCUACAUUUUUGACUUUUUCUUUCUCUAAACAUUUAUCUUUGCUAUUUUUAAAUUGUAUGUAUUUGUGUCUGUGUAUGUGCACAAAAAGACAUUGGAUCCCUUGGAGACAGAGUUUACAGGAGGAUGUUAGCCACCAGUCAUGGGUGAGAAACCAGACAAAGGUUGUCUAUAAGAGUGCUCUUAGCCAUAGGGCCAUCUCCCUAGCUCCUUUUUUUCUGCUAUGGAAACUAAAUGAACUUAGCUGCUGGAACAUUGCUACCUACACUUUUUUCCCCUAAAAGAGCUAUAAAUUGGCCUUUUCCUCUAUGAAGAAAAUAAGUACUUUAAAAGCCCACCAAUAAGGAUCAACAAAACACAACCACUUCUACGUACAAUUGAAGACAGCACUAUGAAAAUUAGAAAUGAUUUAAUUGUUAGUAUGAGUUAUUUUCACUCAAUACCAUGUCUCUUCAAUAAAGACUCUGAUCUGU
rnacentral:lncRNA from 1 species